GGCAACUUAACAAUCGCCUUUGUGAUGUGCAGGCCUUGGGUGACCUGGGAACACUAGAGGUUGCGGAGAAUGGGGAAGCUCACUUCUCCGGUUCCAAAGAAAAGCUGAGAGUUUCUGAUCUCAUAGGCCGCUCAAUUGUGGUAUAUGAGAAGGAAGACAAAUCAGAUUCUGGCAUUGCAGCUGCAGUCAUAGCAAGAAGCGCUGGAGUAGGAGAGAAUUACAAGAAGAUCUGCACCUGCGAUGGCAUCACCAUAUGGGAAUCUACUUAGUUUUGUUAGUGAAAGAGGUUAUUCAAGUCAGAUUCGAGUUGAGUUGUUAGAUCAGGUUAUUUAUUGACACCUCUAUGUAGGAGGAAAUGCUACUUUUGAACAUUAUAUUAUUUCUUUCCUUUCAUUUGUUAAGCUGUAACCUGAAUUAAUAGUAAUGAAAAUGUUUUCCUGUAA